GACGAACGCUGGCGGCGUGCUUAACACAUGCAAGUCGAACGGAAAGGCCCUGCUUUUGUGGGGUGCUCGAGUGGCGAACGGGUGAGUAACACGUGAGUAACCUGCCCUUGACUUUGGGAUAACUUCAGGAAACUGGGGCUAAUACCGGAUAGGAGCUCCUGCUGCAUGGUGGGGGUUGGAAAGUUUCGGCGGUUGGGGAUGGACUCGCGGCUUAUCAGCUUGUUGGUGGGGUAGUGGCUUACCAAGGCUUUGACGGGUAGCCGGCCUGAGAGGGUGACCGGCAACAUGGGACUGAGGAAAGGGCCCGGCUUCUAACGGGGGGAAGAGGGGGGAAAUAUUGACAAAGGGGCGGAGGCUGAUGCAGCAACGCCGCGUGCGGGAUGACGGCCUUCGGGUUGUAAACCGCUUUCGCCUGUGACGAAGCGUGAGUGACGGUAAUGGGUAAAGAAGCACCGGCUAACUACGUG
rnacentral:rRNA from 1 species